rnacentral:rRNA from 1 species
AUUGAACGCUGGCGGCAUGCCUUACACAUGCAAGUCGAACGGCAGCACGGGUGCUUGCCCCCGGUGGCGAGUGGCGAACGGGUGAGUAAUACAUCGGAACACGUCCUGUAGUGGGGGAUAGCCCGGCGAAAGCCGGAUUAAUACCGCAUACGACCUACGGAUGAAAGCGGGGGACCGUCUGGCCUCGCGCUAUAGGGUUGGCCGAUGGCUGAUUAGCUAGUUGGUGGGGUAAAGGCCUACCAAGGCGACGAUCAGUAGCUGGUCUGAGAGGACGACCAGCCACACUGGGACUGAGACACGGCCCAGACUCCUACGGGAGGCAGCAGUGGGGAAUUUUGGACAAUGGGCGAAAGCCUGAUCCAGCAAUGCCGCGUGUGUGAAGAAGGCCUUCGGGUUGUAAAGCACUUUUGUCCGGAAAGAAAUCCUUGGCUCUAAUACAGUCGGGGGAUGACGGUACCGGAAGAAUAAGCACCGGCUAACUACGUG